UACGUAGGCAGCGAGCGUUGUUCGGAGUUACUGGGCGUAAAGAGUGCGUAGGCGGUUUUCUAAGUUUGGUGUGAAAUCUCCCGGCUUAACUGGGAGGUGCGCCGAAGACUGGAAGGCUUGAGUAUGGGAGAGGUAAGCGGAAUUCCUGGUGUAGCGGUGAAAUGCGUAGAUAUCAGGAGGAACACCUGCGGUGUAGACGGCUACCUGGACCAGCACUGACACUGAGGCACGAAAGCGUGGGAGCAAACAGG
rnacentral:rRNA from 1 species